AGCUUUGCGCAGUGGCGAUAUCGUAACCAGUGAGGGUUAUCCGAGGUGCGAUCAUUGCUAGUUGAAAACUUUAACCAAUACCCCGCCAUGUGGACGUGAAAUACCGUCCGCAACGGCAAUUUUUGAAGGCCUUUACGGAGG
rnacentral:snRNA from 1 species